CCUACGGGUGGCUGCAGUGGGGAAUUUUGGACAAUGGGCGCAAGCCUGAUCCAGCCAUGCCGCGUGCGGGAAGAAGGCCUUCGGGUUGUAAACCGCUUUUGUCAGGGAAGAAACGGUUCGGGCUAAUACUUCGAACUAAUGACGGUACCUGAAGAAUAAGCACCGGCUAACUACGUGCCAGCAGCCGCGGUAAUACGUAGGGUGCAAGCGUUAAUCGGAAUUACUGGGCGUAAAGCGUGCGCAGGCGGUCAUGCAAGACAGAUGUGAAAUCCCCG
rnacentral:rRNA from 1 species